rnacentral:tRNA from 1 species
GCCAAUUUAGCUCAGUAGGUAGAGCAACUGACUUGUAAUCAGUAGGUCACCAUCCGAUUCCGGUAGUCGGCACCA